rnacentral:rRNA from 1 species
UGGGGAAUCUUGGACAAUGGGCGAAAGCCUGAUCCAGCCAUGCCGCGUGAGUGAUGAAGGCCCUAGGGUCGUAAAGCUCUUUCGCCAGGGAUGAUAAUGACAGUACCUGGUAAAGAAACCCCGGCUAACUCCGUGCCAGCAGCCGCGGUAAUACGGAGGGGGUUAGCGUUGUUCGGAAUUACUGGGCGUAAAGCGCGCGUAGGCGGACUAUUAAGUCAGGGGUGAAAUCCCGGGGCUCAACCCCGGAACUGCCUUUGAUACUGAUACUCUAGAGUCCGGAAGAGGGUCGCGGAAUUCCCAGUGUAGAGGUGAAAUUCGUAGAUAUUGGGAAGAACACCGGUGGCGAAGGCGGCGACCUGGUCCGGUACUGACGCUGAGGCGCGAAAGCGUGGGGAGCAAACAGGAUUAGAUACCCCCGUAGUCC